AGUGAACGCUGGCGGUAGGCCUAACACAUGCAAGUCGAACGGCAGCACAGUAAGAGCUUGCUCUUACGGGUGGCGAGUGGCGGACGGGUGAGGAAUACAUCGGAAUCUACUUUUUCGUGGGGGAUAACGUAGGGAAACUUACGCUAAUACCGCAUACGACCUACGGGUGAAAGCAGGGGAUCUUCGGACCUUGCGCGAUUGAAUGAGCCGAUGUCGGAUUAGCUAGUUGGCGGGGUAAAGGCCCACCAAGGCGACGAUCCGUAGCUGGCCUGAGAGGAUGAUCAGCCACACUGGAACUGAGACACGGUCCAGACUCCUACGGGAGGCAGCAGUGGGGAAUAUUGGACAAUGGGCGCAAGCCUGAUCCAGCCAUACCGCGUGGGUGAAGAAGGCCUUCGGGUUGUAAAGCCCUUUUGUUGGGAAAGAAAAGCAGCAGGUUAAUACCCCGCCGUUCUGACGGUACCCAAAGAAUAAGCACCGGCUAACUUCGUG
rnacentral:rRNA from 1 species